rnacentral:tRNA from 1 species
GCGGUCGUCGUCUAGCCUGGUCAGGACAUUAGGCCUGACAAGCUAGUAGCCCGGGUUCAAAUCCCGGCGACCGCA